AAACUCAAAGGAAUUGACGGGGGCCCGCACAAGCGGUGGAGCAUGUGGUUUAAUUCGAUGCAACGCGAAGAACCUUACCUACUCUUGACAUCCAGAGAACUUAGCAGAGAUGCUUUGGUGCCUUCGGGAACUCUGAGACAGGUGCUGCAUGGCUGUCGUCAGCUCGUGUUGUGAAAUGUUGGGUUAAGUCCCGCAACGAGCGCAACCCUUAUCCUUUGUUGCCAGCGGUUCGGCCGGGAACUCAAAGGAGACUGCCAAUGAUAAACUGGAGGAAGGUGGGGAUGACGUCAAGUCAUCAUGGCCCUUACGAGUAGGGCUACACACGUGCUACAAUGGCAUAUACAAAGAGAAGCGACCUCGCGAGAGCAAGCGGACCUCAUAAAGUAUGUCGUAGUCCGGAUUGGAGUCUGCAACUCGACUCCAUGAAGUCGGAAUCGCUAGUAAUCGUAGAUCAGAAUGCUACGGUGAAUACGUUCCCGGGCCUU
rnacentral:rRNA from 1 species